UUCGAGGACACAUGAAUUCACCCGCGGAACUUGAUAAGGCCAAUACUGCUACUAACAUGGAUCGAACACUGCCCGAGAGACCCGACUCGGAACUAGGACUUUCGCUAUUAACCUCGAAGCUGACUAUCAUGCCCCUUGGCCUGCCCUGACUUUCUCUGAAACGGAAAUGACCUCAAAUCUCUAGUAUCAAUUUCCACUCAGCCGCUACUAUCUUUAAGGCUCCCGCUUCUGUCUUUAAGGCUUCCGCCCAUGCCUUUCACUACGACUAAUAAGGCUUUCGCUAACUGCCAACAAGACUGAAACGACAGCUUCUGAGAAUGGAGCUAUUGCUCAUAAGGAUUUCACUAGUGCCAACAAGACCUUAACUACCUGCUAUAAGAUGGGCACUCUCAACCAGGAACGCAACUUCUGCUUCUAAGCAUUAAGCUUGGAACUUAGCCCUUCACUACUAAUAGAAAAGAAUCAACACAAGGAAUAAGAAAUCAACAUAAACUCGCAAGGCUUUAACCCAUAACUCGGGAAUCCAACAGUGCACAACGAAUUGCACUCAUAAAUAAUUGAACUCCAAAGAAGAAUCAAACUAAUAAGUAAGGAUGCCUACCAAUAGACUAACUCGAAC
rnacentral:lncRNA from 1 species